UUCCUACGGGAGGCAGCAGUGGGGAAUAUUGCACAAUGGGCGAAAGCCUGAUGCAGCAACGCCGCUUGAGGGACGACGGCCUUCGGGUUGUAAACCUCUUUUAGCAGGGAGAAGCGAAAGUGACGGUACCUGCAGAAAAAGCGCCGGCNAACUACGUGCCAGCAGCCGCGGUAAUACGUAGGGCGCAAGCGUUAUCCGGAAUUAUUGGGCGUAAAGAGCUCGUAGGCGGUUUGUCGCGUCUGCUGUGAAACCCCGAGGCUCAACCUCGGGCCUGCAGUGGGUACGGGCAGACUAGAGUGCGGUAGAGGAGAUUGGAAUUCCUGGUGUAGCGGUGGAAUGCGCAGAUAUCAGGAGGAACACCGAUGGCGAAGGCAGAUCUCUGGGCCGUAACUGACGCUGAGGAGCGAAAGGGUGGGGAGCAAACAGGCUUAGAUACCCUGGUAGUCCACCCCGUAAACGUUGGGAACUAGUUGUGGGGUCCAUUCCACGGAUUCCGUGACGCAGCUAACGCAUUAAGUUCCCCGCCUGGGGAGUACGGCCGCAAGGCUAAAACUCAAAGGAAUUGACGGGGACCCGCACAAGCGGCGGAGCAUGCGGAUUAAUUCGAUGCAACGCGAAGAACCUUACCAAGGCUUGACAUAUACGAGAACGGGCCAGAAAUGGUCAACUCUUUGGACACUCGUAAACAGGUGGUGCAUGGNUGUCGUCAGCUCGUGUCGUGAGAUGUUGGGUUAAGUCCCGCAACGAGCGCAACCCUCGUUCUAUGUUGCCAGCACGUCAUGGUGGGAACUCAUGGAAUACUGCCGGGGUCAACUCGGAGGAAGGUGAGGAUGACGUCAAAUCAUCAUGCCCCUUAUGUCUUGGGCUUCACGCNUGCUACAAUGGCCGGUACAAUGGGCUGCAAUACCGCAAGGUGGAGCGAAUCCCAAAAAGCCGGUCCCAGUUCGGAUUGAGGUCUGCAACUCGACCUCAUGAAGUCGGAGUCGCUAGUAAUCGCAGAUCAGCAACGCUGCGGUGAAUACGUUCCCGGGUCUUGUACACACCGCCCGUCAAGUCAUGAAAGUCGGUAACACCUGAAGCCGGUGGCCCAACCC
rnacentral:rRNA from 1 species